GCUUCAUAGGGGCCUCGCCUUUGAAGACGGGUCUCUUGGAACCUUCGCCCUUCCAGUGGCGUUUCGCCGGGCGCUUCUUUUCUCUAGUGGAGUCAUCCGACUCAUCGGAGUCUAAGUGAGCCUGGUGUGGCUUGUUAGAGAGCGCGUUAGAUUCAGCGGGGGCAGGAGCCGCUUUUGCUAGCGCCUUCUCCAAAGACGCAGCUACCGCUGCAUUGAUCAUUGCUUGAAGGUCACUGGUAUUAAUUGUGUCCUCCAUGAUGUUGGGCACUAACAGGCACAGGUAUAGGUAUGAGAGGUGAGGGACCGUACAGGAAGGACUCAGGUUAAAUAACACUCAGCGGCGUGGUACUGGACUCCUAAUCGCUGGGGCUCACCCAGGGUCACAGGGAGCUGCUUUAACAGUUCCCGCUAUGCAGCCCUCAAUGGGGGCUCAACCCUAGCCAGGCUAUUGGGUUAAACCCUACUGGCAGUCCCACUCCCCAGGGGCAAUGACACCAACCUGUGAAGGUCCCAAAC